rnacentral:rRNA from 1 species
UACGUAGGGUGCAAGCGUUGUCCGGAUUUACUGGGCGUAAAGCGCUCGUAGGCGGUUUGUCAAGUGUGAAGUGAAAUCUCCAGGGCUCAACCCGGAAACUGCUUCGCAGACUGGCAGACUUGAGUGACUCAGAGGUGGAUAGAAUUCCUGGUGUAGCGGUGAAAUGCGUUGAUAUCAGGAGGAAUACCGACGGCGAAGGCAGUCCACUGGGAGUCUACUGACGCUGAGGAGCGAAAGCGUGGGUAGCAAACAGG